rnacentral:rRNA from 1 species
AAACCAGCACCUCAAGUGGUCAGGAUGAUUAUUGGGCCUAAAGCAUCCGUAGCCUGCUUUGUAAGUUUUCGGUUAAAUCUGUACGCUUAACGUACAGGCUGCCGGGAAUACUGCAAAGCUAGGGAGUGGGAGAGGUAGACGGUACUCGGGAGGAAGGGGUAAAAUCCUUUGAUCUCUCGAUGACCACCUGUGGCGAAGGCGGUCUACCAGAACACGUCCGACGGUGAGGGAUGAAAGCUGGGGGAGCAAACCGGAUUAGAAACCCGAGUAGUCC